GAUGAACGCUGGCGGCGUGCCUAAUACAUGCAAGUCGAGCGAACAGAUGAGGAGCUUGCUCCUCUGACGUUAGCGGCGGACGGGUGAGUAACACGUGGAUAACCUACCUAUAAGACUGGGAUAACUUCGGGAAACCGGAGCUAAUACCGGAUAAUAUAUUGAACCGCAUGGUUCAAUAGUGAAAGACGGUUUUGCUGUCACUUAUAGAUGGAUCCGCGCCGCAUUAGCUAGUUGGUAAGGUAACGGCUUACCAAGGCAACGAUGCGUAGCCGACCUGAGAGGGUGAUCGGCCACACGGGAACUGAGACACGGUCCAGACUCCUACGGGAGGCAGCAGUAGGGAAUCUUCCGCAGUGGGCGAAAGCCUGACGGAGCACCGCCGCGUGAGUGAGGAAGGUCUUCGGAUCGUAAAACUCUGUUAUUAGGGAAGAACAAAUGUGUAAGUGACUAUGCACGUCUUGACGGUACCUAAUCAGAAAGCCACGGCUAACUACGUG
rnacentral:rRNA from 1 species